AGGGCACCACCAGGAGUGGAGCCUGCGGCUUAAUUUGACUCAACACGGGAAACCUCACCCGGCCCGGACACGGACAGGAUUGACAGAUCGAUAGCUCUUUCUCGAUUCCGUGGGUGGUGGUGCAUGGCCGUUCUUAGUUGGUGGAGCGAUUUGUCUGGUUAAUUCCGAUAACGAACGAGACUCUGGCAUGCUAACUAGUUACGCGACCCCCCGAGCGGUCGGCGUCCCCCAACUUCUUAGAGGGACAAGUGGCGUUCAGCCACCCGAGAUUGAGCAAUAACAGGUCUGUGAUGCCCUUAGAUGUCCGGGGCUGCACGCGCGCUACACUGACUGGCUCGGCGUGUGCCUACCCUACGCCGGCAGGCGCGGGUAACCCGUUGAACCCCAUUCGUGAUGGGGAUCGGGGAUUGCAAUUAUUCCCCAUGAACGAGGAAUUCCCAGUAAGUGCGGGUCAUAAGCUUGCGUUGAUUAAGUCCCUGCGGUUUGGACACACCGCCCGUCGCCACUACCGAGUUGGAU
rnacentral:rRNA from 1 species